rnacentral:rRNA from 1 species
UACAGAGGGUGCAAGCGUUAAUCGGAAUUACUGGGCGUAAAGCGUGCGUAGACGGUUAUGUAAGUCAGAUGUGAAAGCCCAGGGCUCAACCUUGGAAUUGCAUUUGAGACUGCAUAGCUAGGGUGCGGAAGAGGGAAGCGGAAUUUCCGGUGUAGCGGUGAAAUGCGUAGAUAUCGGAAGGAACACCAGUGGCGAAAGCGGCUUCCUGGCCCAGCACCGACGUUCAGGCACGAAAGCGUGGGGAGCAAACAGG